AUUGAACGCUGGCGGCAUGCUUUACACAUGCAAGUCGAACGGUAACAGGUCUUCGGAUGCUGACGAGUGGCGAACGGGUGAGUAAUACAUCGGAACGUGCCUAGUAGUGGGGGAUAACUACUCGAAAGAGUAGCUAAUACCGCAUGAGAUCUACGGAUGAAAGCAGGGGGCCUUCGGGCCUUGUGCUACUAGAGCGGCUGAUGGCAGAUUAGGUAGUUGGUGGGGUAAAGGCUUACCAAGCCUGCGAUCUGUAGCUGGUCUGAGAGGACGACCAGCCACACUGGGACUGAGACACGGCCCAGACUCCUACGGGAGGGAGCAGUGGGGAAUUUUGGACAAUGGGCGAAAGCCUGAUCCAGCAAUGCCGCGUGCAGGAUGAAGGCCCUCGGGUUGUAAACUGCUUUUGUACGGAACGAAAAGCCUGGGGCUAAUAUCCCCGGGUCAUGACGGUACCGUAAGAAUAAGCACCGGCUAACUACGUGCCAGCAGCCGCCGCCGUAA
rnacentral:rRNA from 1 species